AUCUACUGACACCAGUAGCACUGCCCACAGGAUCCACUGACCACCAGGAUCCACUGACACCAGUAGCCCACUGACACCAGGAUCCACUGACACCAGUAGCUACUGACACCAGGAUCCACUGACACCAGGAUCCACUGACACCAGUAGCUACUGACACCAGGAUCCACUGACACCAGGAUCCACUGACACCAGGAUCCAUUGACACCAGGAUCCAUUGACACCAGGAUCCACUGACACCAGUAGCCACUGACACCAGGAUCCACUGACACCAGGAUCCACUGACCGUACCCAUGGCCAUGUACCAGCAGGCAGCUGACUCCAAGCAGCAUGACAACAUCUUCUCCAGCGGGGUCAUGGAGGAGUCGGAGGUCUGCUCUGUGCCUGGGGGGCUCGCCGGCAUCAGGGCACAAUUCGAGACCCAGGAAAUUGCCACAUCGCACAACGUCACCCAGUUCCUCUUCCGCCACAGAGAGGUGCAGGAAGUGGAAUUGAACUCUGAGUUGACAAUGAUGAGCAGCUCCAGGGAAGUCAUCCCAGCCUCUCAGCAGGCUAUUUCCCAUCAGGAUGAACAGGUCACACAUGAAGAAAACUUGGCCUCCAGUUAUGAAAACAACAAUAACAAUGAAGCAGGUAGGAUGUUACUACAGUUUAUGUUCGUCAUAUUUUACAGUAUGCACAUCAUUAAGAUAAAUAACACUGUUCAAAUUAUUUUUAAUUAAAUCAUAUGAGGUUGAUGGAUGAAUCUUGCAUUCAGAAAGUAUUCAGACCCCAUCUGUUUGUCCACAUUUUGUUACGCUACAGCCUUAUUCUAAAAUGGAUUUAAAAAAUGUUUUCCUCAUCAAUCUACACACAAUACCCCACGAUGACAAAGUCAAAACAGGUUUAUAGAAAUUAUUGCAAAUGUAUAUAACAAAAAAACAGAAAUACCUUAUUUACAUAAGUUUUCAGACCCUUUGCUAUGAGAUUCGAAAUUGAGCUCAGGUGCAUCCUGUUUCCAUUGACCAUCCUUGAGAUGUUUCUACAACUUGAUUGGAGUCCACCUGUGGUAAAUUCAAUUGAUUGGACAUGAUUUGGAAAGGCACACACGUGUCUAUGUAAGGUCCCAGAGUUGAUAGUGCAUGUCAGAGCAAAAACCAAGCUAUGAGGUCGAAGGAAUUGUCCGUAGAGCUCCGAGACAGGAUUGUGUCGAGGCACAGAUCUGGGGAAGGGUACUAAAAACUCUGCAGCAUUGAAGGUCCCCAAGAACACAGUGGCCUCCAUCAUUCUUACAUGGAAGAAGUUUGUAACCACCAAGACUCUUCCUAGAGCUGGCCAUCCGGCCAAACUGAGCAAUCGGGGGAGAAGGGCAUUGGUAAGGGAGGUGACAGAAAACCAAAUGGUCACUCUGACAGAGCUCCAGAAUUCAUCUGUAGAGAUGGGAGAAACAUCCAGAAGGACAACCAUCUCUGCAGAAACAAGAUUCCCUGGUCUGAUGAAACCAAAAUUAAGCUCUUUGGCCUAAAUGCCAAGAGUCACAUCUGGAGGAAACCUGACACCAUCCCAACAGUGAAGCAUGGUGGUGCCAGCGUCAUACUGUGGGGAAGUUUUUCAGUGGCAGGGACUGGGGGGCAAGUCAGGAUCGAGUGAAAGAUGAACGGAGCCAAGUACAGAGGAAAACCUGCUCCAGACUACUCAGGGCCUCAGACUGGGGCAAAGGUUCACCUUUCAACAGGACAACGACCCUAAGCAAACAGCCAAGACAACGCAUGAGUGGCUUCGGGACAAGUCUCUGAAUGUCUUUGAGUGGCCCAACCAGAGCCUGGACUUGAACCCGAUCUAACAUCUCUGGAGAGACCUGAAAAUAGUUGUGCAGCGACACUUCCCAUCCAACCUGACAGAGCUUGAGAGGAUCUGCAAAGAAAAAUGGGAGAAACUCCCCAAAUACAAGUGUGCCAAGCUUGUAGUGUCACACCCAAGAAGACUCGAGGCUGUAAUCGCUGCCAGAGGUGCUUCAACAAAGUACUGAGUAAAGGGUCUGAAUACUUAUGUAAAUGUGAUAUUUAUUUUUUUAAAUAUUUUUUAUAUACAUUUGCAAAAAUGUCUAAAACCUGUUUAUGGGGUAUUGUGUGUAGAUUGAUGAGGGGGGAAAACAAUGUAAAUCAUUUUAGAAUAAGGCUGAGACGUAACAAAACGUGAGAAAAAUCAAGGGGUCUGAAUACUUUCUGAAUGCACUGCAUGUUGCUUUGUCCUCUUGACAUUGUUAGAGGAGGAAGGUCCUAGACUUACAACCAAGGAAUUGAGAGAUCAUUUUGAGAGAACCAUCGAGG
ensembl:lncRNA